UACGUAGGGUGCGAGCGUUAAUCGGAAUUACUGGGCGUAAAGCGUGCGCAGGCGGCCGCUCAAGCCAGGCGUGAAAGCCCCGGGCUCAACCUGGGAAUGGCGCUUGGGACUGAGUGGCUGGAGUGCGGAAGAGGGAGCUGGAAUUCCUGGUGUAGCAGUGAAAUGCGUAGAGAUCAGGAGGAACACCGAUGGCGAAGGCAGGCUCCUGGGCUAGCACUGACGCUCAUGCACGAAAGCGUGGGGAGCAAACAGG
rnacentral:rRNA from 1 species